rnacentral:rRNA from 1 species
UACGAAGGGGGCUAGCGUUGCUCGGAAUCACUGGGCGUAAAGGGUGCGUAGGCGGGGCUUUAAGUCAGGGGUGAAAUCCUGGAGCUCAACUCCAGAACUGCCUUUGAUACUGAAGAUCUUGAGUUCGGGAGAGGUGAGUGGAACUGCGAGUGUAGAGGUGAAAUUCGUAGAUAUUCGCAAGAACACCAGUGGCGAAGGCGGCUCACUGGCCCGGUACUGACGCUGAGGCACGAAAGCGUGGGGAGCGAACAGG